rnacentral:lncRNA from 1 species
GGUAGGCAUUGAGGCAGCCAGCGCAGGGGCUUCUGCUGAGGGGGCAGGCGGAGCUUGAGGAAACCGCAGAUAAGUUUUUUUCUCUUUGAAAGAUAGAGAUUAAUACAACUACUUAAAAAAUAUAGUCAAUAGGUUACUAAGAUAUUGCUUAGCGUUAAGUUUUUAACGUAAUUUUAAUAGCUUAAGAUUUUAAGAGAAAAUAUGAAGACUUAGAAGAGUAGCAUGAGGAAGGAAAAGAUAAAAGGUUUCUAAAACAUGACGGAGGUUGAGAUGAAGCUUCUUCAUGGAGUAAAAAAUGUAUUUAAAAGAAAAUUGAGAGAAAGGACUACAGAGCCCCGAAUUAAUACCAAUAGAAGGGCAAUGCUUUUAGAUUAAAAUGAAGGUGACUUAAACAGCUUAAAGUUUAGUUUAAAAGUUGUAGGUGAUUAAAAUAAUUUGAAGGCGAUCUUUUAAAAAGAGAUUAAACCGAAGGUGAUUAAAAGACCUUGAAAUCCAUGACGCAGGGAGAAUUGCGUCAUUUAAAGCCUAGUUAACGCAUUUACUAAACGCAGACGAAAAUGGAAAGAUUAAUUGGGAGUGGUAGGAUGAAACAAUUUGGAGAAGAUAGAAGUUUGAAGUGGAAAACUGGAAGACAGAAGUACGGGAAGGCGAAGAAAAGAAUAGAGAAGAUAGGGAAAUUAGAAGAUAAAAACAUACUUUUAGAAGAAAAAAGACAAGCUAGGAAACAAAAAGCUAAGGGCAAAAUGUACAAACUUAGAAGAAAAUUGGAAGAUAGAAACAAGAUAGAAAAUGAAAAUAUUGUCAAGAGUUUCAGAUAGAAAAUGAAAAACAAGCUAAGACAAGUAUUGGAGAAGUAUAGAAGAUAGAAAAAUAUAAAGCCAAAAAUUGGAUAAAAUAGCACUGAAAAAAUGAGGAAAUUAUUGGUAACCAAUUUAUUUUAAAAGCCCAUCAAUUUAAUUUCUGGUGGUGCAGAAGUUAGAAGGUAAAGCUUGAGAAGAUGAGGGUGUUUACGUAGACCAGAACCAAUUUAGAAGAAUACUUGAAGCUAGAAGGGGAAGUUGGUUAAAAAUCACAUCAAAAAGCUACUAAAAGGACUGGUGUAAUUUAAAAAAAACUAAGGCAGAAGGCUUUUGGAAGAGUUAGAAGAAUUUGGAAGGCCUUAAAUAUAGUAGCUUAGUUUGAAAAAUGUGAAGGACUUUCGUAACGGAAGUAAUUCAAGAUCAAGAGUAAUUACCAACUUAAUGUUUUUGCAUUGGACUUUGAGUUAAGAUUAUUUUUUAAAUCCUGAGGACUAGCAUUAAUUGACAGCUGACCCAGGUGCUACACAGAAGUGGAUUCAGUGAAUCUAGGAAGACAGCAGCAGACAGGAUUCCAGGAACCAGUGUUUGAUGAAGCUAGGACUGAGGAGCAAGCGAGCAAGCAGCAGUUCGUGGUGAAGAUAGGAAAAGAGUCCAGGAGCCAGUGCGAUUUGGUGAAGGAAGCUAGGAAGAAGGAAGGAGCGCUAACGAUUUGGUGGUGAAGCUAGGAAAAAGGAUUCCAGGAAGGAGCGAGUGCAAUUUGGUGAUGAAGGUAGCAGGCGGCUUGGCUUGGCAACCACACGGAGGAGGCGAGCAGGCGUUGUGCGUAGAGGAUCCUAGACCAGCAUGCCAGUGUGCCAAGGCCACAGGGAAAGCGAGUGGUUGGUAAAAAUCCGUGAGGUCGGCAAUAUGUUGUUUUUCUGGAACUUACUUAUGGUAACCUUUUAUUUAUUUUCUAAUAUAAUGGGGGAGUUUCGUACUGAGGUGUAAAGGGAUUUAUAUGGGGACGUAGGCCGAUUUCCGGGUGUUGUAGGUUUCUCUUUUUCAGGCUUAUACUCAUGAAUCUUGUCUGAAGCUUUUGAGGGCAGACUGCCAAGUCCUGGAGAAAUAGUAGAUGGCAAGUUUGUGGGUUUUUUUUUUUUACACGAAUUUGAGGAAAACCAAAUGAAUUUGAUAGCCAAAUUGAGACAAUUUCAGCAAAUCUGUAAGCAGUUUGUAUGUUUAGUUGGGGUAAUGAAGUAUUUCAGUUUUGUGAAUAGAUGACCUGUUUUUACUUCCUCACCCUGAAUUCGUUUUGUAAAUGUAGAGUUUGGAUGUGUAACUGAGGCGGGGGGGAGUUUUCAGUAUUUUUUUUUGUGGGGGUGGGGGCAAAAUAUGUUUUCAGUUCUUUUUCCCUUAGGUCUGUCUAGAAUCCUAAAGGCAAAUGACUCAAGGUGUAACAGAAAACAAGAAAAUCCAAUAUCAGGAUAAUCAGACCACCACAGGUUUACAGUUUAUAGAAACUAGAGCAGUUCUCACGUUGAGGUCUGUGGAAGAGAUGUCCAUUGGAGAAAUGGCUGGUAGUUACUCUUUUUUCCCCCCACCCCCUUAAUCAGACUUUAAAAGUGCUUAACCCCUUAAACUUGUUAUUUUUUACUUGAAGCAUUUUGGGAUGGUCUUAACAGGGAAGAGAGAGGGUGGGGGAGAAAAUGUUUUUUUCUAAGAUUUUCCACAGAUGCUAUAGUACUAUUGACAAACUGGGUUAGAGAAGGAGUGUACCGCUGUGCUGUUGGCACGAACACCUUCAGGGACUGGAGCUGCUUUUAUCCUUGGAAGAGUAUUCCCAGUUGAAGCUGAAAAGUACAGCACAGUGCAGCUUUGGUUCAUAUUCAGUCAUCUCAGGAGAACUUCAGAAGAGCUUGAGUAGGCCAAAUGUUGAAGUUAAGUUUUCCAAUAAUGUGACUUCUUAAAAGUUUUAUUAAAGGGGAGGGGCAAAUAUUGGCAAUUAGUUGGCAGUGGCCUGUUACGGUUGGGAUUGGUGGGGUGGGUUUAGGUAAUUGUUUAGUUUAUGAUUGCAGAUAAACUCAUGCCAGAGAACUUAAAGUCUUAGAAUGGAAAAAGUAAAGAAAUAUCAACUUCCAAGUUGGCAAGUAACUCCCAAUGAUUUAGUUUUUUUCCCCCCAGUUUGAAUUGGGAAGCUGGGGGAAGUUAAAUAUGAGCCACUGGGUGUACCAGUGCAUUAAUUUGGGCAAGGAAAGUGUCAUAAUUUGAUACUGUAUCUGUUUUCCUUCAAAGUAUAGAGCUUUUGGGGAAGGAAAGUAUUGAACUGGGGGUUGGUCUGGCCUACUGGGCUGACAUUAACUACAAUUAUGGGAAAUGCAAAAGUUGUUUGGAUAUGGUAGUGUGUGGUUCUCUUUUGGAAUUUUUUUCAGGUGAUUUAAUAAUAAUUUAAAACUACUAUAGAAACUGCAGAGCAAAGGAAGUGGCUUAAUGAUCCUGAAGGGAUUUCUUCUGAUGGUAGCUUUUGUAUUAUCAAACUUUUUUCAGAUAACAUCUUCUGAGUCAUAACCAGCCUGGCAGUAUGAUGGCCUAGAUGCAGAGAAAACAGCUCCUUGGUGAAUUGAUAAGUAAAGGCAGAAAAGAUUAUAUGUCAUACCUCCAUUGGGGAAUAAGCAUAACCCUGAGAUUCUUACUACUGAUGAGAACAUUAUCUGCAUAUGCCAAAAAAUUUUAAGCAAAUGAAAGCUACCAAUUUAAAGUUACGGAAUCUACCAUUUUAAAGUUAAUUGCUUGUCAAGCUAUAACCACAAAAAUAAUGAAUUGAUGAGAAAUACAAUGAAGAGGCAAUGUCCAUCUCAAAAUACUGCUUUUACAAAAGCAGAAUAAAAGCGAAAAGAAAUGAAAAUGUUACACUACAUUAAUCCUGGAAUAAAAGAAGCCGAAAUAAAUGAGAGAUGAGUUGGGAUCAAGUGGAUUGAGGAGGCUGUGCUGUGUGCCAAUGUUUCGUUUGCCUCAGACAGGUAUCUCUUCGUUAUCAGAAGAGUUGCUUCAUUUCAUCUGGGAGCAGAAAACAGCAGGCAGCUGUUAACAGAUAAGUUUAACUUGCAUCUGCAGUAUUGCAUGUUAGGGAUAAGUGCUUAUUUUUAAGAGCUGUGGAGUUCUUAAAUAUCAACCAUGGCACUUUCUCCUGACCCCUUCCCUAGGGGAUUUCAGGAUUGAGAAAUUUUUCCAUCGAGCCUUUUUAAAAUUGUAGGACUUGUUCCUGUGGGCUUCAGUGAUGGGAUAGUACACUUCACUCAGAGGCAUUUGCAUCUUUAAAUAAUUUCUUAAAAGCCUCUAAAGUGAUCAGUGCCUUGAUGCCAACUAAGGAAAUUUGUUUAGCAUUGAAUCUCUGAAGGCUCUAUGAAAGGAAUAGCAUGAUGUGCUGUUAGAAUCAGAUGUUACUGCUAAAAUUUACAUGUUGUGAUGUAAAUUGUGUAGAAAACCAUUAAAUCAUUCAAAAUAAUAAACUAUUUUUAUUAGAGAAUGUAUACUUUUAGAAAGCUGUCUCCUUAUUUAAAUAAAAUAGUGUUUGUCUGUAGUUCAGUGUUGGGGCAAUCUUGGGGGGGAUUCUUCUCUAAUCUUUCAGAAACUUUGUCUGCGAACACUCUUUAAUGGACCAGAUCAGGAUUUGAGCGGAAGAACGAAUGUAACUUUAAGGCAGGAAAGACAAAUUUUAUUCUUCAUAAAGUGAUGAGCAUAUAAUAAUUCCAGGCACAUGGCAAUAGAGGCCCUCUAAAUAAGGAAUAAAUAACCUCUUAGACAGGUGGGAGGUAACAGCACAAUAUCUUUGAACUAUAUACAUCCUUGAUGUAUAAUUUGUCAGGAGCUUGACUUGAUUGUAUAUUCAUAUUUACACGAGAACCUAAUAUAACUGCCUUGUCUUUUUCAGGUAAUAGCCUGCAGCUGGUGUUUUGAGAAGCCCUACUGCUGAAAACUUAACAAUUUUGUGUAAUAAAAAUGGAGAAGCUC